GUAGAAAACCGUCCUCCAAAUUUUGAUGUGCUAGAGUGGUGGAAGGUGAAUUCAAGCCGAUAUCCAAUACUUGCAAGCAUUGCAAGAGAGGUUUUAGCCAUACCGAUAUCCAGUGUAGCCUCUGAAUCAGCUUUCAGUAUCGGAGGAAGAAUCCUUGAUGCAUAUCGUAGUUCUUUAACAUCGGCUAGUGUGGAAGCACUUAUGUGUACUGAAGAUUGGCUCAAAGGAGUAGUUCCAUCUUUUCUUAGUAGUGAGGAUCUCGAUAAUAUUGAUCGAAUUGAGGAUGAACUAUAUUCUGCGCCAGAUGCCGGAAGUUGCUCAUCCUUUGUGUCAGUUGUUGAUGAUUGAGGGUUGGAGAUGGCUUGGAUUGCCUUUGAAGAAGAUGGCCAUGGGAAAUUGUGGUUGAAAAUUGGAUGUUAAUGCUUAUGAGCUUAGAUUAAAAAUUAGAACUUUUAGGUCACAUGUUAGUUUAGGUUCAUUUUUGGAAUGUUCAUUUGUAAUGUGCAAUGAGUUUAUCAUGGAAACUAUGUAUUAAGAUGAA